GAAAAAGGAGAUCUGCAGGGAUUAGCGGUUUGUAUCCCCCACACUACAGAAAGAAUGUAUUUUAGAGAUGUCAUCAACUUUAGUGCUUUGCUGUGAAUAUAUCAUUCAGUAAUGAAGAAGGAGGACGUCCUAACUAAAGUCUUUCCCCAGCUGAUGUGAAGUCUGCUUUAUUAGAUGGGAACAAAUCCUGUUACUGUAUGGGAAGAGCUAUGUGGGCCAGCAGCAGGACAUGAUCUGACUCUCAAGUCAGGCUGGUAGCAGAGAUUGCUGGAAGAUGAUAUGUGAUGGCAUGCCUAGCUGUCAAAACCCUCCCUUGGGUAACUUCUGAGAGCAGUCUGAUCCUGAUGCAGGAGGCCACUGGAGCCUGGGCCCCCUGAGAGGU
rnacentral:lncRNA from 1 species